CACGGACCAAGGAGUCUAACAUGUACGCGAGUCACAGGGACUCGGCGAGAUACCCAAGGGCGAAAUGAAAGUGAAGGUCGGCCCCGGUCGUCGACCGAGGGAGGAUGGGCCGCGCCGCGCGCGCGGCCCCGCACUCCCGGGGCGUCUCGUUCUCAUCGCGAGAAGAGGCGCACCCAGAGCGUACACGUUGGGACCCGAAAGAUGGUGAACUAUGCCUGGUCAGGACGAAGUCAGGGGAAACCCUGAUGGAGGUCCGUAGCGAUUCUGACGUGCAAAUCGAUCGUCGGAACUGGGUAUAGGGGCGAAAGACUAAUCGAACCAUCUAGUAGCUGGUUCCCUCCGAAGUUUCCCUCAGGAUAGCUGGCACUCGGCCGUUCCGCACGGAACGCGCGCGAGUCUCAUCUGGUAAAGCGAAUGAUUAGAGGCCUUGGGGCCGAAACGACCUCAACCUAUUCUCAAACUUUAAAUGGGUGAGAUCUCUGGCUUUCUUGAAACAUGAAGCCACGAGCUCUCUCGGAUCAGAGUGCCAAGUGGGCCAUUUUUGGUAAGCAGA
rnacentral:rRNA from 1 species